rnacentral:lncRNA from 1 species
GAAGGAGUGGAGAUGAGCCCAGACACAACCCUGGAUGUGUGCAUUGCUUUCAAAAAGUAAUGCCAUUAGUUGUGACGCUGACCGUGCCUUUACUCCUCUGCCAAAUAUACUAUGGGGCAGCUGGAACUAACGGACACUUCUAAGGUUCAUACUGAGGUGGAACUCUCACUGGACCACUGGGAAUUUUAUCCAAAUAAUGCAAAUAUCACAGCAAGUUCAUGACGCUCUAUUUCACAAAUGGGACUUUCUGAGGUCAGAUGAUUCCAGUUACUGUAAUGUAUGGAUUGCUGGAUCGAAGAGCAUGCACUACGGGGAAUGAGAUUGACAUCUGUGAAGAAAGGAAAAAAACAUGUCUAGGAUAAAGAAAAGUUGCUUCAUAGAAAGCAGACCUUUAAAAAUGCUACAUUAAUAUUAAAAAUAUACACUGGAGGCAACCAUGGCAGCCUAAGUGCACAAAUGGUUCCUAGGAAGACAGCCAUUUCACUGUGUAUACCUUAUCAUGGGGAGAGCACUACACUCAACUCUAUAAAGACUGGCUUUCAACUUCAAUUCCCCUCUUACAAGUGAGAUGGUAUUAUAGUCAUGAAUGAAUGGAAUAACUGCAACACAGAAAACACUACAUUUCAGCAACUGCUUGGUCAGCCAUGGAUAGGAAUGAAGUAUUGCCACUCCAGUUUGCUGCUUCUUCAUAUGGAAUAUGAAACUGUAGAGAACAGAAGUGUAGAGAUUUUGUAUAUUUCCAUGGAAUACCAGCAUCAGGCCACUUUCACAUCAGACAGAUUUUGAUAGAAGCAACGAAGUGUACAGAUGAUCUCUCUUUUCUGCUCCAACCCCAGAACUGGAGAGGCAGGUCUCCUGUAGAGUGAGUGUGCAUGAGUGAGACAAGUUAAUGUGGUAAUAAGACUACAUCCCUCUUUAAUCACCAUCUCCCUUUGCAAUUGAAUAAAACUAUAAAUCAUAUGAAUUC